AAAGUCGUAACAAGGUUUCCGUAGGUGAACCUGCGGAAGGAUCAUUACUAUAUUCUUUGGGCACUCCUUUUGGAGCUGUCCGAGGCGUAUUUUCAUACACUUGUUUAUCGCACCAUUGUUGCCUCGGCGUUCGCGCCGGUAUAGGCCCCUUACAAACUCUUUGUAUUGCAGUAUAAGUCUGAAAUUAAAACAAUAAAUCAAAACUUUCAACAACGGAUCUCUUGGUUCUG
rnacentral:misc_RNA from 1 species